rnacentral:rRNA from 1 species
AUUGAACGCUGGCGGCAUGCUUUACACAUGCAAGUCGAACGCCAGCACGGGGGCAACCCUGGUGGCGAGUGGCGAACGGGUGAGUAACACAUCGGAACGUGUCCAGUUGUGGGGGAUAACCCAUCGAAAGGUGGGCUAAUACCGCAUGAGAUCGAGAGAUGAAAGCGGGGGAUCGCAAGACCUCGCGCCUAAAGAGGAGCCUGCGGCGGAUUAGCUAGUUGGUAGGGAACGGCCUACCAAGGCAACGAUCCGUAGCCGGCCUGAGAGGGCGGUCGGCCACACUGACACUGAAAUACGGGUCAGACUCCUACGGGAGGCAGCAGUCGGGAAUUUUGGGCAAUGGGC